UGCAUUCAGGUGAUGUAAAUAAGAGUUUUACAGGUCUUG
rnacentral:tRNA from 1 species